GGACCCUCUCACCCCCGGGUGCCGGCGGGGUGAGGUAGUAGGUUGUGUGGUUUCAGGGUAGUGAUGUUGCCCCCUCGGAAGAUAACUAUACAACCUACUGCCUUCCUCGAGGGGCCCAGUGACGUCCACGGAGGGU
rnacentral:pre_miRNA from 8 species